GCGGCGGACGGGUGAGUAACACGUGAGUAACCUGCCUUUGACAUUGGGAUAGCCUCGGGAAACUGGGAUUAAUACCAAAUGAAACUAACUGAUCACAUGAUCAAUUAGUCAAAGAAAUUCGGUCAAAGAUGGACUCGCGGCUGAUUAGCUAGUUGGUGAGGUAACGGCCCACCAAGGCGACGAUCAGUAGCCGGCCUGAGAGGGUGAUCGGCCACAUUGGAACUGAGACACGGUCCAAACUCCUACGGGAGGCAGCAGUGGGGAAUAUUGCACAAUGGGGGAAACCCUGAUGCAGCGACGCCGCGUGAGCGAAGAAGGCCUUCGGGUCGUAAAGCUCUUUUAUGAGGGAAGAUAAUGACGGUACCUCAAGAAAAAGCCCCGGCUAACUACGUGCCAGCAGCCGCGGUAAUACGUAGGGGGCUAGCGUUGUCCGGAAUCACUGGGCGUAAAGGGUUCGCAGGCGGAAUCACAAGUCAGAUGUGAAAGGCAUGGGCUCAACCCAUGUAAGCAUUUGAAACUGUAAUUCUUGAGAAGUGGAGAGGUAAGUGGAAUUCCUAGUGUAGCGGUGAAAUGCGUAGAUAUUAGGAGGAAUACCUGUGGCGAAGGCGACUUACUGGACACAAAUCUGACGCUGAGGAACGAAAGCGUGGGUAGCAAACAGGAUUAGAUACCCUGGUAGUC
rnacentral:rRNA from 1 species